rnacentral:rRNA from 1 species
GAAUCUGCCCACCAAAAGGGGACCUUCGGCCUCUCCCUAAAGAUCCCCAGGUGGAUUGUUUGUUGGGGGUAAGGUCCCCUAGGGGAAGUUCCUAGGUGGUUGGAAGGAGGCCAGCCACCUGGAAUGGGACAGGUUCAGAUUCUACGGGAGCAGCAGGGGGAAUUUGCCAAUGGGGCAAGCUUAAGCAGCCAUGCCGGGGGUGAAGAAGCCUCGGGUUGUAAGCAUUUCAGUGGGAGGAAGGUGUGAGGUUAUUACCUCAUGAUUGACGUUACCGCAGAAGAAGCACCGGCUAACUCCGUGCCAGCAGCCGCGGUAAUACGGAGGGUGCAAGCGUUAAUCGGAAUUACUGGGCGUAAAGCGCAUGCAGGCGGUUUGUCAAGUCGGAUGUGAAAUCCCGGGGCUCAACCUGGGAAUUGCAUUCGAAACUGGCAGGCUAGAGUCUUGUAGAGGGGGGUAGAAUUCCAGGUGUAGCGGUGAAAUGCGUAGAGAUCUGAAGGAAUACCGGUGGCGAAGGCGGCCCCCUGGACAAAGACUGCCGUUCAGUUGCGAAAGCGUGGGGAGCAACCAGGAUUAGAUACCCUGGUAGUCCACGCGGUAAACGAUGUCGAUUUGGAGGUGGUGCCCUGGAGGCGUGGCUUCCGAAGUUAACGCGUAAAUUCGCCCCCUUGGGGAGUACGUCCCCAAGGUUAAAAUUCAAAUGAAUGGACGGGGGCCCGCCCAAGCGGUGGACCAUGUGGUUUAAUUGGAUGCAACGGGAAGACCCUUCCUUGUUCUGGCCAUCCACAGAACUUUCCAGAGAUGGAUUGGUCCCUUCGGGAAUUGUGGGCCAGUUGCGCCAUGGCGGUCUUCAGCUCGUGUUGUGAAAUGUUGGGUUAAUUCCCGCAACAAGCCCAACCUUUUCCCUGUGUUCCCAGCGGUAAGGCCGGGAACUCAAAGGAGACUGCCAGUGAUAAACUGGAGGAAGGUGGGGAUGACGUCAAGUCAUCAUGGCCCUUACGACCAGGGCUACACACGUGCUACAAUGGCACAUACAAAGAGAAGCGACCUAGCGAGAGCAAGCGGACCUCAUAAAGUAUGUCGUAGUCCGGAUUGGAGUCUGCAACUCGACUCCAUGAAGUCGGAAUCGGUAGUAAUCGUGGAUCAGAAUGCUGGCGUUGAAUUCCUUCCUAUACUUUUUACCCCCCUCUCUGUAUCUCGUACACGAACAUCUCCUCUAGA